rnacentral:ncRNA from 1 species
AAAUUUAGUAGCGAAGUUGCCGAUGUCACACUGCCGAGAAAAGCUUCUAGUGAGAAAUUAACUGCCCGUACCGCAAACCGACACAGGUAGUCGAGGAGAGUAUCCUAAGGUGAGCGAGAGAACUCUCGUUAAGGAACUCGGCAAAAUGACCCCGUAACUUCGGGAGAAGGGGUGCUGAUCGCAAGAUCAGCCGCAGUGAAAAGGCCCAGGCGACUGUUUAUCAAAAACACAGGUUUCUGCAAAAUCGUAAGAUGAAGUAUAGGGGCUGACGCCUGCCCGGUGCUGGAAGGUUAAAAGGAAGAGUUAGCAUUAUGCGAAGCCCUGAAUUGAAGCCCCAGUAAACGGCGGCCGUAACUAUAACGGUCCUAAGGUAGCGAAAUUCCUUGUCGGGUAAGUUCCGACCCGCACGAAAGGCGUAACGAUCUGGGCACUGUCUCAACGAGAGACUCGGUGAAAUUGAAUUGCCUGUGAAGAUGCAGGCUACCCGCGACAGGACGGAAAGACCCCGUGGAGCUUUACUGUAGCUUGAUAUUGAGUGUUUGUACUACUUGUACAGGAUAGGUAGGAGCCAUAGAUACCGGGACGCUAGUUUCGGUGGAGGCGUUGGUGGGAUACUACCCUUGUAUUAUGACCACUCUAACCCGCGCCACUAAUCGUGGUGGGAGACAGUGUCAGGUGGGCAGUUUGACUGGGGCGGUCGCCUCCCAAAAGGUAACGGAGGCGCCCAAAGGUUCGCUCAGAAUGGUUGGAAAUCAUUCGCAGAGUGUAAAGGCACAAGCGAGCUUGACUGCGAGACAGACAGGUCGAGCAGGGACGAAAGUCGGGCUUAGUGAUCCGGUGGUUCCGUAUGGAAGGGCCAUCGCUCAACGGAUAAAAGCUACCCCGGGGAUAACAGGCUUAUCUCCCCCAAGAGUUCACAUCGACGGGGAGGUUUGGCACCUCGAUGUCGGCUCAUCGCAUCCUGGGGCUGUAGUCGGUCCCAAGGGUUGGGCUGUUCGCCCAUUAAAGCGGUACGCGAGCUGGGUUCAGAACGUCGUGAGACAGUUCGGUCCCUAUCCGUCGCGGGCGUAGGAAAUUUGAGAGGAGCUGUCCUUAGUACGAGAGGACCGGGAUGGACAUACCUCUGGUGUACCAGUUGUUCCGCCAGGAGCACCGCUGGGUAGCUAUGUAUGGAUGAGAUAAACGCUGAAAGCAUCUAAGUGUGAAACUCGCCUCAAGAUGAGAUUUCCCAUUCCUUUAUGGAAGUAAGACCCCUCAGAGAUGAUGAGGUUGAUAGGAUGGAAGUGGAAGCGUGGUGACAUGUGGAGCGGACCAUUACUAAUCGGUCGAGGACUUAACCAA